rnacentral:rRNA from 1 species
CCUACGGGAGGCAGCAGGGGGGAAUAUUGCACAAUGGGCGAAAGCCUGAUGCAGCGACGCCGCGUGAGGGAUGAAGGCCUUCGGGUUGUAAACCUCUUUCAGCCGGGACGAAGCGCAAGUGACUGUACCUGCAGAAGAAGCACCGGCUAACUACGUGCCAGCAGCCGCGGUAAUACGUAGGGUGCGAGCGUUGUCCGGAAUUACUGGGCGUAAAGAGUUCGUAGGCGGUUUGUCGCGUCGUGUGUGAAAUCCCGCAGCUCAACUGCGGGCUUGCAGGCGAUACGGGCAAACUUGAGUACUGCAGGGGAGACUGGAAUUCCUGGUGUAGCGGUGAAAUGCGCAGAUAUCAGGAGGAACACCGGUGGCGAAGGCGGGUCUCUGGGCAGUAACUGACGCUGAGGAACGAAAGCGUGGGUAGCGAA